ACGUAAGGGGCAAGCGUUAUCCGGAUUUACUGGGUGUAAAGGGAGCGUAGACGGCAGUGCAAGUCUGAUGUGAAAGCCCGGGGCUCAACCCCGGGACUGCAUUGGAAACUGUGCAGCUAGAGUGUCGGAGAGGUAAGUGGAAUUCCUAGUGUAGCGGUGAAAUGCGUAGAUAUUAGGAGGAACACCAGUGGCGAAGGCGGCUUACUGGACGAUGACUGACGUUGAGGCUCGAAAGCGUGGGGAGCAAACAG
rnacentral:rRNA from 1 species